rnacentral:sRNA from 1 species
GACAAUAAUUUCAAGGGAAUGGCCACCAGCAUGUCGGGAGUAUAUGCAGUCGGGGACUGUAAUAACGACGACAGCACCAAUGUUGUACACGCAAUGUUUAGCGGGAAGCGAGCCGCAAUUGAAAUCCAUCUUCUCUUGGAACGUGAAAAUGCGACAGCUAUGGGCAUGAGUUUGAGCCAGCGAUCUCAACCCAUGACCAUCCGCGAACUCGAGGAGCGAGCUGACGGGAAAAUUGGAAACG